AUAACGGUAUCUGCUUGACUGAGGAAGGUCUCUUCAAGAGGUCUCCGAGUGUUCUGGAACACAUGAAAAGGCAAUGAAGCUCCUUGCCACCUGUCUGACUCUUCAUUGGCCACGGUGCGAUAAAGGUCCAGCAUGAAGACUGGAGCAGAUGAUGAGCGUUUGACAGAAAGCAAAGGUUUGGGACGCCGAGGAUAUUUUUCCGUACAAGUGCAUUGCUGCCGUUCUUGAUGGUUAACAGUGUACAAAUGUUUGGGAAAUGCAAAGUAUUAAAAGGGUGUGCAACUAGAGAAAGAUGACUGAAGCAACAUAUUGGCCAGGAAAACAAUCUUAAGGAUCAUCUCAACAACAGGACCUGAGAACAAAGACUACUCAACUCUCUUUCCAAAUAUUUCCCUUCUAUCCAUAACCUAUUUAAUCUGAUUGCUUGUCU